AGCAGUCGCCGCGGUAAUACAGAGGGUGCGAGCGUUAAUCGGAUUUACUGGGCGUAAAGCGUGCGUAGGCGGCUUUUUAAGUCGGAUGUGAAAUCCCUGAGCUUAACUUAGGAAUUGCAUUCGAUACUGGGAAGCUAGAGUAUGGGAGAGGAUGGUAGAAUUCCAGGUGUAGCGGUGAAAUGCGUAGAGAUCUGGAGGAAUACCGAUGGCGAAGGCAGCCAUCUGGCCUAAUACUGACGCUGAGGUACGAAAGCAUGGGGAGCAAACAGGAUUAGAUACCCGGGUAGUCCCUGUCUCUUAUAA
rnacentral:rRNA from 1 species